GGGCCGUUAGCUCAGUGGUUAGAGCAGUCGACUCAUAAUCGAUCGGUCGCUGGUUCGAAUCCAGCACGGCCCA
rnacentral:tRNA from 1 species